AGCGAACGCUGGCGGCAGGCCUAAUACAUGCAAGUCGAGCGGCCGUAGCAAUACGGCAGCGGCAGACGGGAGAGUAACACGUGGGAACGUACCUUUUGGUUCGGAACAACCCAGGGAAACUUGGGCUAAUACCGGAUAAGCCCGCAAGGGGAAAGAUUUAUCGCCAAAAGAUCGGCCCGCGUCCGAUUAGCUAGUUGGUGGGGUAAUGGCCCACCAAGGCGACGAUCGGUAGCUGGUCUGAGAGGAUGAUCAGCCUCACUGGGACUGAGACACGGCCCAGACUCCUACGGGAGGCAGCAGUAGGGAAUAUUGGACAAUGGGCGCAAGCCUGAUCCAGCCAUGCCGCGUGGGUGAUGAAGGCCUUAGGGUUGUAAAGCCCUUUCGGCGGGAAGAUAAUGACGGUACCCGCAGAAGAAGCCCCGGCUAACUACGUGCCAGCCGCCGCUGUAAC
rnacentral:rRNA from 1 species